rnacentral:rRNA from 1 species
CAGUAGCCGCGGUAAUACGAAGGGUGCAAGCGUUACUCGGAAUUACUGGGCGUAAAGCGUGUGUAGGUGGUUGUUUAAGUCUGUCGUGAAAGCCCUGGGCUCAACCUGGGAAUUGCGAUGGAUACUGGGCGACUAGAGUGCGGUAGAGGAUAGUGGAAUUUCCGGUGUAGCAGUGAAAUGCGUAGAGAUCGGAAGGAACAUCUGUGGCGAAGGCGACUAUCUGGGCCAACACUGACACUGAGACACGAGAGCGUGGGGAGCAAACAGGAUUAGAUACCCCCGUAGUCCCUGUCUCUUAUAC